GUUUUUUGUGCCAGUGUUAACAACAAUGUUAGCACUUUAGAAGUAGCAUUCUCUUCAUAUUUUUUAGAAAUAGCAUCUGCCACACUUUCUGGCUCUCGGAUUGUAGACAAUUUCAAAGUUGAAACCAAUUAAUUUGACUAGAAACCUCUGUUGCUCCGGAGCUUGAAUUGUUUGUGACAUCAAUUCCCUAAUACUCUUGUGGUCCGUUUUGAUAACAAAUUUUCUGCCCAGAAGGUAUUGACGCCAUUUAGCCACUGCUUCUAUAAUUGCAUACAAUUCUCGAACAUAAGUGGAAGCUUGCUGCAUUUUGGAAUUUAACUUUUUGUUGUAAUAUACAAUAGAGUGUGAAGCUUGAACCAAGACAGCUCCUAUCCCAAUCCCUGAUGCAUCAGUUUCUACAUUAAAUGUUUGUUCGAAGUCAGGUAAAGCCAGCACUGGGGCUUGAGUCAUAGCUGAUUUUAAUUGUUGAAAGGCUUCGUUAGCUGCUGGAGACCAUUUGAAAGCAUCCUUCUAAAGUAAUGACGUGAGUGGAGCGGCUAUGGUUGCAUAAUGCUUUACAAAAUGAUGGUAAUAACCAGUAAGACCAAGGAAACUGCGGAGCUGUCGAAUAUUAGCCGGUGUUUUCCACUGUAACAUGGACUAAAUCUUGGAGGUUUCAGACGCAACCCCAUUGGCUAACACGAUGUGACCCAAAUAUUCAAUUUGAUUAUGUGUAAACUUACAUUUGCUCCUUUUAGUCCAGGAAUUAUCCUUCAAGCAACCCAACACAAGCCGUAAAUGUUCAACAUGAUUAUUUAGUAUCUUACUGUAUGCUAAAAUAUCAUUAAAAAAAUAUAUAUAUAUAUCACGAAUUUUCUUAGAAAUGGUUUGAGCAAACUGU
rnacentral:lncRNA from 1 species